rnacentral:rRNA from 1 species
UACGAAGGGGGCUAGCGUUGCUCGGAAUGACUGGGCGUAAAGGGCUCGUAGGCGGCCAACUAAGUCAUACGUGAAAUCCCUCGGCUUAACCGGGGAACUGCGUCUGAUACUGGAUGGCUUGAGUUCGGGAGAGGGAUGCGGAAUUCCAGGUGUAGCGGUGAAAUGCGUAGAUAUCUGGAGGAACACCGGUGGCGAAGGCGGCAUCCUGGACCGAUACUGACGCUGAGGAGCGAAAGCCAGGGGAGCAAACGGG